rnacentral:rRNA from 1 species
UACGUAGGGGGCAAGCGUUGUCCGGAAUCAUUGGGCGUAAAGAGCGUGUAGGCGGCCCGGUAAGUCCGCUGUGAAAGUCCAGGGCUCAACCCUGGGAUGCCGGUGGAUACUGUCGGGCUUGAGUACGGAAGAGGCGAGUGGAAUUCCUGGUGUAGCGGUGAAAUGCGUAGAUAUCGGGAGGAAUACCUAUGGCGAAAGCAGGCUACUGGACCGUCACUGACUCUGAUCUGCGAAAGCUAGGGAGCAAACAGG